CCCGACUCCUACGGGAGGCAGCAGUGCGGAAUAUUGGUCACUGGGCGGAAGCCUGCCCCAGCCAAGUCGCUUGAGGGAAUACGGCCCUGCGGGUCUCCUCCCUCUUUGGACUUUGAGCAAGGCCGCCGACGUGUCUUCUUCCGGAGAGUCCCCUUCGAACAAGCCUCGUCUAACUCCUUUCCCGCAGCCGCUGUCCUCCGGAGGAUGCGCUCGUUAUCCGGCUUUAUUGGGUUUAAAGGGUGCGCAGGCGGCACGGCAAGCCGGAGGUCAAAUCGCGGGGCUCAACCCCGCCCAGCCGUCGGAACUGCCGGGCUAGAGUGGGCGAGAAGUGCGCGGAAUGCGUGGUGUAGCGGUGAAAUGCAUAGAGAGCAAGCAGAACUCCGAUUGCGAAGGCAGCGCACCGGCGCCCUACUGACGCUCAGGCACGAAAGCGUGGGGAUCGAACAGGAUUAGAUACCCGGGUA
rnacentral:rRNA from 1 species